rnacentral:rRNA from 1 species
UACGUAGGGGGCAAGCGUUGUCCGGAUUUAUUGGGCGUAAAGAGCGUGUAGGCGGUCAGGUAGGUCCGUUGUGAAAACUCGAGGCUCAACCUCGAGACGCCGAUGGAAACCAUCUGACUAGAGUCCGGAAGAGGAGAGUGGAAUUCCUGGUGUAGCGGUGAAAUGCGUAGAUAUCAGGAGGAACACCGGCGGUGUAGACGGCUUGCUAGACCAUAACUGACGCUGAGGCACGAAAGCGUGGGUAGCAAACAGG